AAAUCAUCACAGCUGAGGUUGGACAGGAGAAAUUCACUCUGCCAUGUCGAGCUCCAAACAACAAAACCAUCAGAGCCGUAAAGUGGAGCAGAGCUGACCUGGGAGAUCAAUAUAUCCUUUUGUACCGGAAUAAGCAUUUUGUUCCAGAUGACCAGCAUCCAUCUUUUAAGAACCGGGUGGAUCUGCAGGACAGACAGAUGAAGGAUGGAGACGUGUCUUUGAUUCUGAAGAAUGUGACGAUUAAUGACACUGGAACAUACGAGUGUGUUGUUCUCCAGACAGGUUUGGAGCUCAUCAACAGCACCAACCUGAUUGUUGUUCCUCCAGGUCAGACAGGAGGAGACACAGAGGAUGGAUCUGUUGGACUGAUCGUUGGUCUGAUAGUUUUUGCUCUGCUUGUUGUUCUUGUUGCUGCUGCUGGAUUUUUGAUAUACAGAAAACAUGAAAAAACAAAGACUCAGGAUCCGUACCAUCAACCUGCUGAACUGCAGCCUGUUUGAAACGUCUCAGUUUUUUUUUUUUUUUUUAGCAGCUGAAAUCGGAGUCUCCUGCAUAUCCUGACUUUCGGUAGUGUUAUUGAACAUCUAGAGGACAGACAUCAGUCAGCUAUCAGUGUAGUUAAGUUAUUAUACUUGUUUGUUUGUUUUUUGUUUGCUUUCUUUGCAACAGUAUUAGCUAUUAGGUUGUUUUAUCUUUCAGGUUAGGUUUGAUUCUUAAACAGUACUAUUUACACUUUUGCCUUUUUUAUAUGUGGAACAUUCAGGAAGUCUGAUCAGUGAUAUUCAACAGAAAACAUUCAGUUUCAACAGAAAUACAUUUGUUCACAGUGAUGAAUUCAGCGUCGUCUCUGUCACAAUAUCAGAAUCAGUGAGUUUGUUUCAUCUUCAGGUUCAGCUGUUUGUGAGGUCAGACUCGCAGACUGAUCCUCAUGUUUAGAUGUUACACAAUAAUUACAGACACUGACUGACAACAAAAAACACAACACAAAGUGCUCAGGGUCCAUUUAUCAGCUAGAACUGAACGAUUGAAUAAUCUGAUAUUAUUAUGAAACCAAAGAGAAAUGUGUUACAUGGAGCUGCAGAGUCACAUGUUUCCUCUGAUCUAUGAAGCCUUAACUUGUUCCUCCAUGAAGGAGACUCUUCAGCCUAUUACUUCAGUUUAAACACAUCAAGAUUAUUUAUUAAUUAUUUUUGUAUACACAUUUGUUUAUCGAUAAAGUUUUACAUGUGUUACUCUACAAGGUUUUUCUUUGCUUCCUGUGGCUGUAAACAUUUUCUGACCUGCUGUUUGAGUCUGCGCAGAUCUCACCUUGAAUGUAAUGGUGUGAACAUUUAUACAUUUAGCCUGACAUUAUUAAAACCUAAGCUCUAUGUAAGCUCAGUAGCGCCCCCUCUCAAUGUUAGGAGGUAAAUGACAGAGCUGAAACCCUGGCUGUUAAUGAGAUAUUAACAGUAAGAGUAAGAGGUGUGUUAUUGAGCACAACACUGUAUACAGUUUUGUGCAUUAACAUCUUUGUGCCCACAAUAUGGAACAAUUGUGUUAAAUUUCUGCCAUGUUAAUGAGAAGAGCUUCAAGUUGAUUUGUCCUUUGUAGUGAUUAAACAUUCAUAUUUUACAAUACACUUUCUAGGCGAGGUAGCUUCUGUGCUAAAAAAAACGCAUGCUUUCUUCUGUAAUGUGUCUGCCUGACCAGAACAUAUUCUGUUCAUAUCCAUAUAAUAAACAAACUCUAAAAGAUAAACAAA